rnacentral:tRNA from 1 species
UGACCCGUAGCUCAAUGGUAAGAGUAAGUGCCUUAUACGCACAAGGUUACCGGUUCGAGUCCGGUCGGGUCAACAA